UUAAGCGACUAAGCGUACACGGUGGAUGCCCUGGCAGUCAGAGGCGAUGAAGGACGUGCUAAUCUGCGAAAAGCGUCGGUAAGGUGAUAUGAACCGUUAUAACCGGCGAUGUCCGAAUGGGGAAACCCAGUGUGAUUCGUCACACUAUCGUUAACUGAAUACAUAGGUUAACGAGGCGAACCGGGGGAACUGAAACAUCUAAGUACCCCGAGGAAAAGAAAUCAACCGAGAUUCCCCCAGUAGCGGCGAGCGAACGGGGAGCAGCCCAGAGUCUGAAUCAGCUUGUGUGUUAGUGGAACGGUCUGGAAAGUCCGACGGUACAGGGUGAUAGUCCCGUACACCAAAAUGCACAGGUUGUGAACUCGAAGAGUAGGGCGGGACACGUGGUAUCCUGUCUGAAUAUGGGGGGACCAUCCUCCAAGGCUAAAUACUCCUGACUGACCGAUAGUGAACCAGUACCGUGAGGGAAAGGCGAAAAGAACCCCGGCGAGGGGAGUGAAAAAGAACCUGAAACCGUGUACGUACAAGCAGUGGGAGCACCUUCGGGUGUGACUGCGUACCUUUUGUAUAAUGGGUCAGCGACUUAUAUUCUGUAGCAAGGUUAACCGUAUAGGGGAGCCGCAGGGAAACCGAGUCUUAACUGGGCGUUAAGUUGCAGGGUAUAGACCCGAAACCCGGUGAUCUAGCCAUGGGCAGGUUGAAGGUUGGGUAACACUAACUGGAGGACCGAACCGACUAAUGUUGAAAAAUUAGCGGAUGACUUGUGGCUGGGGGUGAAAGGCCAAUCAAACCGGGAGAUAGCUGGUUCUCCCGAAAGCUAUUUAGGUAGCGCCUCGUGAAUUCAUCUUCGGGGGUAGAGCACUGUUUCGGCUAGGGGGUCAUCCCGACUUACCAACCCGAUGCAAACUACGAAUACCGAAGAAUGUUAUCACGGGAGACACACGGCGGGUGCUAACGUCCGUCGUGAAGAGGGAAACAACCCAGACCGCCAGCUAAGGUCCCAAAGUCAUGGUUAAGUGGGAAACGAUGUGGGAAGGCACAGACAGCCAGGAUGUUGGCUUAGAAGCAGCCAUCAUUUAAAGAAAGCGUAAUAGCUCACUGGUCGAGUCGGCCUGCGCGGAAGAUGUAACGGGGCUAAACCAUGCACCGAAGCUGCGGCAGCGACACUAUGUGUUGUUGGGUAGGGGAGCGUUCUGUAAGCCUGCGAAGGUGGCCUGUGAGGGUUGCUGGAGGUAUCAGAAGUGCGAAUGCUGACAUAAGUAACGAUAAAGCGGGUGAAAAGCCCGCUCGCCGGAAGACCAAGGGUUCCUGUCCAACGUUAAUCGGGGCAGGGUGAGUCGACCCCUAAGGCGAGGCCGAAAGGCGUAGUCGAUGGGAAACAGGUUAAUAUUCCUGUACUUGGUGUUACUGCGAAGGGGGGACGGAGAAGGCUAUGUUAGCCGGGCGACGGUUGUCCCGGUUUAAGCAUGUAGGCUGGUUAUCCAGGCAAAUCCGGAUAAUCAAGGCUGAGGUGUGAUGACGAGGCACUACGGUGCUGAAGUAACAAAUGCCCUGCUUCCAGGAAAAGCCUCUAAGCAUCAGGUAACAUUAAAUCGUACCCCAAACCGACACAGGUGGUCAGGUAGAGAAUACCAAGGCGCUUGAGAGAACUCGGGUGAAGGAACUAGGCAAAAUGGUGCCGUAACUUCGGGAGAAGGCACGCUGGUGUGUAGGUGAAGUCCCUGCGGAUGGAGCUGAGACCAGUCGAAGAUACCAGCUGGCUGCAACUGUUUAUUAAAAACACAGCACUGUGCAAACACGAAAGUGGACGUAUACGGUGUGACGCCUGCCCGGUGCCGGAAGGUUAAUUGAUGGGGUUAUCCGUAAGGAGAAGCUCUUGAUCGAAGCCCCGGUAAACGGCGGCCGUAACUAUAACGGUCCUAAGGUAGCGAAAUUCCUUGUCGGGUAAGUUCCGACCUGCACGAAUGGCGUAAUGAUGGCCAGGCUGUCUCCACCCGAGACUCAGUGAAAUUGAACUCGCUGUGAAGAUGCAGUGUACCCGCGGCAAGACGGAAAGACCCCGUGAACCUUUACUAUAGCUUGACACUGAACAUUGAGCCUUGAUGUGUAGGAUAGGUGGGAGGCUUUGAAGCGUGGACGCCAGUCUGCGUGGAGCCAACCUUGAAAUACCACCCUUUAAUGUUUGAUGUUCUAACGUUGGCCCCUGACCGGGGUUGCGGACAGUGUCUGGUGGGUAGUUUGACUGGGGCGGUCUCCUCCCAAAGCGUAACGGAGGAGCACGAAGGUUAGCUAAUCCUGGUCGGACAUCAGGAGGUUAGUGCAAUGGCAUAAGCUAGCUUGACUGCGAGCGUGACGGCGCGAGCAGGUGCGAAAGCAGGUCAUAGUGAUCCGGUGGUUCUGAAUGGAAGGGCCAUCGCUCAACGGAUAAAAGGUACUCCGGGAUAACAGGCUGAUACCGCCCAAGAGUUCAUAUCGACGGCGGUGUUUGGCACCUCGAUGUCGGCUCAUCACAUCCUGGGGCUGAAGUAGGUCCCAAGGGUAUGGCUGUUCGCCAUUUAAAGUGGUACGCGAGCUGGGUUUAGAACGUCGUGAGACAGUUCGGUCCCUAUCUGCCGUGGGCGCUGGAGAAUUGAGGGGGGCUGCUCCUAGUACGAGAGGACCGGAGUGGACGCAUCACUGGUGUUCGGGUUGUCAUGCCAAUGGCACUGCCCGGUAGCUAAAUGCGGAAGAGAUAAGUGCUGAAAGCAUCUAAGCACGAAACUUGCCCCGAGAUGAGUUCUCCCUGAGACUUUAAGUCUCCUGAAGGAACGUUAAAGACGAUGACGUUGAUAGGCCGGGUGUGUAAGCGCAGCGAUGCGUUGAGCUAACCGGUACUAAUGAACCGUGAGGCUUAACCUU
rnacentral:rRNA from 1 species